GAUGAACGCUGGCGGCGUGCCUAAUACAUGCAAGUCGAGCGAACGGACGAGAAGCUUGCUUCUCUGAUGUUAGCGGCGGACGGGUGAGUAACACGUGGAUAACCUACCUAUAAGACUGGGAUAACUUCGGGAAACCGUAGCUAAUACCGGAUAAUAUUUUGAACCGCAUGGUUCAAAAGUGAAAGACGGUCUUGCUGUCACUUAUAGAUGGAUCCGCGCUGCAUUAGCUAGUUGGUAAGGUAACGGCUUACCAAGGCAACGAUGCAUAGCCGACCUGAGAGGGGGAGCGGCCACACGGAAAGGACGCAACGGUCCAGACGCCUGCGGGGGGCAGCAGUGGGGAAUCUUCGACAAGGGGCGAAAGCCUGAAAGACAAAGGCCGAGGGAAUGAUGAAGGUUUUCGGUGCGUAAAAAUCUGUUAUUAGGGAAGAAAAAAUUAGCAAGAAACUGUGCCCUUCUUGAAGGUACCUAAUCAGAAAGCCACGGCUAACCACGUG
rnacentral:rRNA from 1 species